rnacentral:rRNA from 1 species
UACGUAGGGGCAAGCGUUGUCCGGAAUCAUUGGGCGUAAAGGGCGCGUAGGCGGUGGGGUAAGUCUGGUGUGAAAUCUCGGAGCUCAACUUCGAAAUUGCACUGGAUACUGCUCUGCUAGAGGGCUGGAGAGGAGAUCGGAAUUCACGGUGUAGCAGUGAAAUGCGCAGAUAUCAGGAGGAACACCAGCGGCGAAGGCGGCGCUCUGGGCCGGAACUGACGCUGAGACGCGAAAGCGUGGGGAGCAAACAGG